UACGAAGGGGGCUAGCGUUGCUCGGAAUCACUGGGCGUAAAGGGUGCGUAGGCGGGUCUUUAAGUCAGGGGUGAAAUCCUGGAGCUCAACUCCAGAACUGCCUUUGAUACUGAAGGUCUUGAGUAUGGGAGAGGUGAGUGGAACUGCGAGUGUAGAGGUGAAAUUCGUAGAUAUUAGGAAGAACACCAGUGGCGAAGGCGGCUCACUGGCCCGGUACUGACGCUGAGGCGCGAAAGCGUGGGGAGCAAACAGG
rnacentral:rRNA from 1 species